rnacentral:misc_RNA from 1 species
UUUUGCUAUUUAAUUUUUGCUCAGACGUCAUUGAUUAACUGAGUUUUGGUGGACUCUGGCAGACGCUCGCCAGCCGGGGAGGCCGGCGGCGGGAGUGACCCGCGGGCCUGCCAAAGCAACAGAGGUAAGGUUCACAAUGGGUUGGAGGUUUGGGAUGUAAUCCCUUACUCUUUAAUGAUCCUUCCGCAGGUUCACCUACGGAAA